rnacentral:rRNA from 1 species
AGAGUUUGAUCCUGGCUCAGGAUGAACGCUGGCGGCGUGCCUAAUACAUGCAAGUCGAACGAGGUGCUUUUGUAGCAAUACGAAAGUAUCCUAGUGGCGAACGGGUGAGUAACGCGUUGGUGACCUACCCCAAAGUGUGGGAUAACAGUCCGAAAGAUUGCUAAUACCGCAUGUGGUUAUCGGAUUUAGAAACCGAUAUCUAAAGGAGCAAUUCGCUUUGGGAGGGACCUGCGUCCCAUCAGCUAGUUGGUGAGGUAAUGGCUCACCAAGGCUACGACGGGUAGGGGACCUGAGAGGGUGACCCCCCACAAUGGAACUGAAACACGGUCCAUACACCUACGGGUGGCAGCAGUAGGGAAUAUUGCUCAAUGGGCGAAACGUGAUGCAGCAACGCCGCGUGGAGGAUGACGCAUUUCGGUGUGUAAACUCCUUUUAAGAGGGAAGAUAAUGACGGUACCUCUUGAAUAAGCACCGGCUAACUCCGUGUCAGCAGCCGCGUAAUGCGAGGGUGCAAGCGUUACUCGGAAUCACUGGGCGUAAAGGGUGCGUAGGCUGGCUUCUAAGUCAGAUGUGAAAUCCAAUGGCUUAACCAUUGAACUGCAUUUGAAACUGGGAGCCUAGAGUUCAGAAGGGGCAGAUGGAAUUAGUGGUGUAGGGGUAAAAUCCGUAGAUAUCACUAGGAAUAUCAAAAGCGAAGGCGUUCUGCUGGGAUGAUACUGACGCUGAGGCACGAAAGCGUGGGGAGCAAACAGGAUUAGAUACCCUGGUAGUCCACGCCCUAAACGAUGAAUGCUAGUCGUCGGGGAGCUCGUCUCUUCGGUGAUGCACUUAACAGAUUAAGCAUUCCGCCUGGGGAGUACGGUCGCAAGAUUAAAACUCAAAGGAAUAGACGGGGACCCGCACAAGUGGUGGAGCAUGUGGUUUAAUUCGAAGAUACACGAAGAACCUUACCUGGCCUUGACAUGGUAGGAACCCUUAAGAGAUUAGGGGGUGUUAGCUUGCUAGAACCUACACACAGGUGCUGCACGGCUGUCGUCAGCUCGUGUCGUGAGAUGUACCGUCAAGUCGGGUAACGAGCGCAACCCCUAUUCCGUGUUGAAUUUUCACGGGAGACCGCCUCGGAUAACGGGGAGGAAGGUGGGGAUGACGUCAAAUCAGCAUGGCUCUUACACCUAGGGCAACACACGUGCUACAAUGGCCAGGACAAUGGGUCGCCAAGCCAAGGCGGAGCUAAUCCCAUCAAACCUGGUCUCAGUUCGGAUUGGGGCUGCAAUUCGCCCCCAUGAAGCCGGAUUUGCUAGUAACGCGCGAUCGGCAACGCGGCCGUGAAUACGUUCUCGGGUCUUGUACUCACCGCCCGUCACGUCAAGAGAGUUGGAAACGCCCGAAGGCACGCUUAGCUCGGACGAAGCGGAGCCAGCGAUAGGGACGAAGUCGUAACAAGGCAUCCGUAGCGGAAGCUGUGGAUGGAUCACCUCCUU